AAGAAGGGUUUUUUGUAUUUAUUGAGUUAGAAAGGGAUUUUAAUUUUAAAUAAUAAACGUGUUCUAGAAAUAGAAUUUCAAAAAUAUAAAUAUAGAAUCAAUACAUAAAAAUAUUUAUAAAAACACAAAAGAUAAAUAAAUAUUAUUAGUAGGAAUAGACGUAAUAUAGUAUAAGGAAUAGACAAAAUAUACUGUACAAAUUACAUACUGCAUCCAUGUCCACUAUAAAUAUGCACUUGAAUAUAAAUACGAAAAAUAGAAAUAUCAAAUUUAUUUAAAUAUCAUUUAAAAGAACGGAGCUUGUUUUGGUCACGUCGGCUAAGAGGCAGGUUUUUGGCAUUUAUGUCAGAGCAGUUUUUUUCUGGGGUCGCCCCUGUUCUUUUUUGCCGCCGUCGCUGCCCGCAACCCCGAGGCGCGCUGCGCCCCCGUCUGGGGCGGGCGGCAGUGCUGCCGCCUUGUGGGCAGAGCGCGGUACUGCAGCCGUGCGCCGGCAGGCAGCCGAGAGGCCGCCAUGCUGGGAGUGGCGUGUCGCGGGUGUCUCGGACUUUUCGUUGACCUUCUCGAGAUGGCGGGGAAGUGGAGGACCCCGGUGGGUGUAAGUGAACUGCCUGCAUGGAAUACCGACGUCAUGGCGGCCCCGACGGAUUUUUCUGUGGCGUUUGAAGCGUAUCCGAUACAUGCUGUGGGCUCAGCGUCGCCGCGAGCGGGCGUAUUUUUGCGGGUUUGUGACAGGCAUCUGGGUAAACCUUCCCUCUGUGCGCCGGGGUCCUCUCAUGCCCGCUCUCCCGCCCUCAGCGAGCCGAGGAUGGCCGAAAAAUCCCGACUUGAGCCGAAGAGCCGAGUGUUGCCGAAAACAGCCGAGUUUACCCGAAGAGCCGAGUGUGGCCGAAAACAGCCGAGUUUACCCGAAGAGCCGAGUGUGGCCGAAAACAGCCGAGGGUAGCCGACACUGGCCGCAUUUAGAGAAUGUGCUGAAUAUGACCGAGUUUAGCCGCACCGUGCCGAGUUCGGCCGAAGAGCCGAACUGAAACAAGUUUAGACCAAGAGCCGAACCAAGCCGAAUUGAGCCGAGUUUCUUUAAACAGAACCGAAGGACGCCGCAGCGCUCUCCCUGCAGGUCUCCGGGGCACACGGCAGGGGGCGCUGUAUAAAGGGCGAAGGACCCGUUUGAUGCCCGGGAGGGACUGCAGCUCCCGGUGGCGGAGGACGGAGCAGUGGCUGUCAGCCCGAGACUACAACUCCCGGCAGGCCCUGCUGCCGGCGAGGCGUGUGACGCAACGGCUGACGCGGCGCAUGAGUGGCUGGCGUGCCAGGCGGCCGCGCGGGGCUGUGCGCGGGCAGCUCCCGGCCCCUCUCCCGCGCGGGACGGCGCCGCGGCGGCGACGCCGGAGGGGCGAAGCCUCCGUCUGGCCGCCCGCACGGAGCUGAGCAGCGCGGAAGGAGCGUCGGCCCGGUUCUUCGGCCUUACUCAGCGGUAGCGAUGGCGGAGGGCGAGGCGGUGCUUUGCUGCCGCGGGCCGGGAGCUGCAGGAGCCGCCCCGGGCGAGCGGCGCCGGGCGCUCCCGCGGUCCCGGUGGGGCGGCUGCCCUCAGGCUGGCGGAGGCGCAGCAGCCCCCGAGCUGCAGCCGUCUCCCUCGGGCUGCUGCCGGUGCUGCGGGCGGAGGCGGCUCCGCCGCGUGUUGGGCGUUGCGAGCAGAGAGCGCUGCGAUAUCGCCGGAAUGACUGGGCUGCUGCCUGCGCUAGUGCUCGAGGCUCUUUCUGCCAUGCAAACGGAUGGAGCGGCGCUGAGCGGUAAAGCCAGAGAUGGCCGGGAGAAUGCCCAGCGCAGGGAGCAGGCGGGCUGUAUCCUUCCGAUGGCACAGGGUACUCAGAAAAUAUGUCUCCCUUAGAGUCCCACAGAAACGUUCUCAGUGCGAUCUCUAUCAAGUGCUAUGAGUCUUGAUAAAUUGGAGAAGAGCCCAAGAGAAAUUUUUCAUCCCUUGAUAUAAAAGGGAUCGGUGAAUUUUAACUUUGGAGUCCUCUAUGCUAAGGAUGCUCGGCUUACAGAUGAUGAAAUGUUCAGUAAUGUAUUUGCUGCAGCUCUGCUUACCCAAACUUUGGGUUCCUUCUGUCCCACUGGGAGUUGCCCGAUUUGGUUGCAUCUGGUGAAAUUCACCCUGAGACCUUGGAGAACCAGCUCAAACUACGUGAGAGCCAUUUGCAGUUCUCUCCAGACACCUGGAGAAUGGGUGAUGCUUCUGAGGAUCUGGCAAGUGUACUUCUAUCAAAACUCAGUCUGUGAAAUUUCUGGGGAAAACCCUUCUGUGUACCGAAGGGUUCAAACUCUGGGAAAGACUCUCGUAUCCUUGUCGUCAGGCUCGGUGCUGUCCAAGAAGAUACAGAGACUAAAACAAUCAUAAGAAGCAAAAUAUGACUACAGGGAAAACAAGCUGGAGAGAACAAAAGA